rnacentral:rRNA from 1 species
CGCUAUCACUCCUACGGGGAGGCAGCAGUAGGGAAUCUUCCACAAUGGGCGCAAGCCGGAUGGAGCAACACCGCGUGAGUGAAGAAGGGUUUCGGCUCGUAAAGCUCUGUUGUUAAAGAAGAACACGUAUGAGAGUAACUGUUCAUACGUUGACGGUAUUUAACCAGAAAGUCACGGCUAACUACGUGCCAGCAGCCGCGGUAAUACGUAGGUGGCAAGCGUUAUCCGGAUUUAUUGGGCGUAAAGAGAGUGCAGGCGGUUUUCUAAGUCUGAUGUGAAAGCCUUCGGCUUAACCGGAGAAGUGCAUCGGAAACUGGAUAACUUGAGUGCAGAAGAGGGUAGUGGAACUCCAUGUGUAGCGGUGGAAUGCGUAGAUAUAUGGAAGAACACCAGUGGCGAAGGCGGCUACCUGGUCUGCAACUGACGCUGAGACUCGAAAGCAUGGGUAGCGAACAGGAUUAGAUACCCUGGUAG